AUUGAACGCUGGCGGCAUGCCUUACACAUGCAAGUCGAACGGUAACGGGCCUUCGGGUGCCGACGAGUGGCGAACGGGUGAGUAAUGUAUCGGAACGUACCUUUCAGUGGGGGAUCACGUAGCGAAAGUUACGCUAAUACCGCAUAUUCUGUGAGCAGGAAAGCAGGGGAUCGCAAGACCUUGCGCCGAUUGAGCGGCCGAUAUCAGAUUAGCUAGUUGGUGAGGUAAAGGCUCACCAAGGCGACGAUCUGUAGCGGGUCUGAGAGGAUGGUCCGCCACACUGGAACUGAGACACGGUCCAGACUCCUACGGGAGGCAGCAGUGGGGAAUUUUGGACAAUGGGGGCAACCCUGAUCCAGCCAUGCCGCGUGAGUGAAGAAGGCCUUCGGGUUGUAAAGCUCUUUCGGCCGGGAAGAAAUCGUAUGGGUUAAUACCCUGUGCGGAUGACGGUACCGGCAUAAGAAGCACCGGCUAACUACGUGCCAGCAGCCGCAGUAAGAC
rnacentral:rRNA from 1 species